rnacentral:rRNA from 1 species
UCUUCCGCAAUGGACGAAAGUCUGACGGAGCAACGCCGCGUGAGUGAUGAAGGUUUUCGGAUCGUUAAACUCUGUUGUUAGGGAAGAACAAGUACCGUUCGAAUAGGGCGGUACCCUGACGGUACCUAACCACAAAGCCACGCCUAACUACGUGCCAGCAGCCGCGGUAACACGUAGGUGGCAAGCGUUGUCCGGAAUUAUUGGGCGUAAAGCGCGCGCAGGGGGUUUCUUAAGUCUGAUGUGAAAGCCCCCGGCUCAACCGGGGAGGGUCAUUGGAAACUGGGGAACUUGAGUGCAGAAGAGGAGAGUGGAAUUCCACGUGUAGCGGUGAAAUGCGUAGAGAUGUGGAGGAACACCAGUGGCGAAGGCGACUCUAUGGUCUGUAACUGCCGCUGAGGCGCGAAAGCGUGGGGAGCGAACAG